UACGUAAAAGACUAGUGUUAGUCAUCUUUAUUAGGUUUAAAGGGUACCUAGACGGUAAAUUAAACUCUAAAUGAGUACUUUUUUACUAGAGUUUUAUAAGAGAAGGAAGAACUUUUGGAGUAGGGAUAAAAUACUUUGAUACCAAAAGGACUGAUAACGGCGAAGGCAUCCUUCUAUGUAAAAACUGACGCUGAGGCUCGAAAGCAUGGGUAGCGAACAGG
rnacentral:rRNA from 1 species